UUCAAGUGAUACCUUAUCUUACCUUGUGUUAUUAAUGAAUUUUUUCCUUUCUUUUAGUCAUCAAACUAUUUAAGAAUAUAAUAGACUCAGUGGAAUUUGUGCUACCUUAUGAAUAUGAUACAAGCAUGUAUAAAAGUUUGUGUAAAAUCUUAUGAUCCAGCAAAUGAAGACCAAAAGAACAAGCUGACCUUUUUGAAGAAAGGAAUGCAACACAGUCAUCAACAUCAGUGAUGAGGACCCUGAAACGCAGAGAAGUUAAGCGACUUGACCAGUCAUACACUUAGUAAGUGGCAGAAGUAGGAUUCCAACUCAAAUCUCUUUAGCUUUGAAGUCCCAAUCACACUGUUUGAAAUCUAUCUUGUUCUCAAACUGUCUCCUGCUGGACCUGAGGGUAACAGAAGUGACUCAGGGGCUGCCAUGGAGGCUAACGAAGAGGCUGAGUUGGCAUGGUAGAGCUCACCUAUUUUGUAUGGGGGGCCUGGACAUGAUCACUGAUGGGCGGGGGAAAAGAGAGGGUGGAGUAUAGGUUGACUCCCAGGUUUCUGGCUUGGUAGUCACGGUAGAUGGUGGUACUAUUGUUUUUUUUUCCAGAAAAAAAAAAGGACUGGUGUUUCUUAAAUUCCAGUCAUUCAUGUACCAUGUUGAUGAUUUUUGCCAUAUCCAAGGACACCUUUAUUAUUAUUUAUCUCUUUAAAAAAAUCCAUUAUUUAACAUAAAUAUAUUUAGAAAGGAAAUUAUAAUAUUCCCCCAAUUACAGGUUUACUGUACUAUUUACAUUUUUAUUAAUCUCAUUAAACAACAAUUUUGAAUUGUUAUUGUUAGGUGCUGUCAAGUUGGUUCCAACUCAUAGCAACCCUGUGCACCACAGAACAAAACACUGCCCAGUCCUGCACCGUCCUCACAAUUGUAGUUAUGCUUGAGCCCAUUGUUGCAGCCACCGUGUCAGUCCAUCUUGUUGAGGGCCUUCCUCUUUUUCGCUGACCCUCUACUUUACCAACCAUAAUGUCCUUCUCCAGGGAUUGAUCCCCCCUGACAACAUGUCCAAAAUAUGUAAGAUGCAGUCUCACCAUCUUUGCUUCUAAGGAGCAUUCUGGUUGUACUUCUUCCAAAACAGAUUUGUUUGUUCUUCUUGCAGUUCAUGGUAUAUUCCGUAUUCUUGGCCAACACCACAAUUCAAAGGCAUCAAUUGUUUGGCCU